GGGUCUCUGAGUGUGCAUUAUGGCUUCCAGUUGAUAGUUUUUAUGGAGUAAACAAAAGGGUCAUGUGUUAUGUUUUGAUGUCAAUAGAAAGAAAUGAUGAUGAUGAUGAUGAUGAUGAUGGAGUACUCCCCACACUCUUGUAAACUUGAAAGCAGCAGCAACAAUAACAACGACAACAACAACAACAACAACAACAACAACAAAAACCUUGGAGAUUAGCACAGAAUUUUAAUUCUUUGGAAUCAGAAGACUCACAGAACUUUCCAAGCAUGCCAUGGUUACUGAGGUCAAAGGCAUGCUCUGUACACAAGCAGUAUUACUCUAUGCAUACAAAUCUUGCUUUUGUAUUUUUACCCAGUCAUGUACCUGCCUAUAUUUACAUCCAAGGAAUUAGAUGAUGAUACAUGGUGUGAAUAUGAUUGUUUUUUAAUGCACUUAAAUAUGAUCUAUUUUAUCUAUUCAAUUUUUUAAAGAAAGCAAGAGCUUUCAAUUACAAAAUGUUCAUAUUCUUUUC
rnacentral:lncRNA from 1 species